rnacentral:rRNA from 1 species
UCAUACGGAGGAUCCAAGCGUUAUCCGGAAUUACUGGGCGUAAAGAGUUGCGUAGGUGGCAAAGUAAGCGAAGCAUGAAAUCUUGAGGCUCAACCUUGAGACUAUGCUUUGAACUACUUAGCUUGAGUAUGGGAGAGGUAGAUGGAAUUUCUAGUGUAGGAGUGAAAUCCGUAGAUAUUAGAAGGAACACCGAUGGCGUAAGCAGUCUACUGGCCCAUUACUGACACUAAGGCACGAAAGCGUGGGGAGCGAACGGGAUUAGAUACCCCGGUAGUCCACGCCGUAAACGAUGGAUGCUAGCUGUUAGAAGUAUCGACCCUUCUAGUAGCGAAGCUAACGCGUUAAGCAUCCCGCCUGGGGAGUACGGUCGCAAGAUUA